UAAUACGUAGGGGGCAAGCGUUGUCCGGAAUUAUUGGGCGUAAAGAGCGCGUAGGCGGUCCGAUAAGUCGGCUGUGAAAGUCCAGGGCUCAACCCUGGAAAGCCGGCCGAUACUGUCGGACUAGAGUCCGGAAGAGGCGAGUGGAAUUCCCGGUGUAGCGGUGAAAUGCGCAGAUAUCGGGAGGAACACCAAUGGCGAAGGCAGCUCGCUGGGACGGUACUGACGCUGAGGCGCGAAAGCGUGGGGAGCAAACAGGAUUAGAUACCCUGGUAGUCCACGCCGUAAACGAUGGGCACUAGGUGUGGGAGGUGUCGACUCCUCCCGUGCCGCAGCUAACGCAUUAAGUGCCCCGCCUGGGGAGUACGGCCGCAAGGCUA
rnacentral:rRNA from 1 species